rnacentral:rRNA from 1 species
AAUGAACGUUGGCGGCGUGGAUUAGGCAUGCAAGUCGAGCGAGAAGAGUUUGGUAGCUUGCUAUUGAACUCGGAAAGCGGCGAAAGGGAGAGUAACGCGUAGUUACGUGCCCCAGGGUUCGGAAUAGCCACGGGAAACUGUGGGUAAUGCCGAAUAACAUCUCCGGAUCAAAGGUGUGAUUCCGCCCUGGGAGCGGACUGCGUCCUACUAGCUAGUUGGCGGGGUAAUGGCCCACCAAGGCAACAAUGGGUAGCGGGGGUGAGAGCAUGACCCGUCUUACUGGGACUGAGACAAUGCCCAGACACCUACGGGUGGCUGCAGUCGAGAAUCUUCGGAAAUGGGCGAAAGCCUGAACGAGCGACGCCGCGUGCGGGAUGAAGGCCCUCGGGUUGUAAACCGCUGUCGUAGGGGAGGAAGGCUCCAUGAAGAAUGGGGUUUGACCUAUCCUAGGAGGAAGUACGGGCUAAGUUCGUGCCAGCCGCCGCAGUAA